CCUACGGGUGGCAGCAGUGAGGAAUAUUGGUCAAUGGGCGGGAGCCUGAACCAGCCAAGUCGCGUGAGGGAUGACGGCCCUAUGGGUUGUAAACCUCUUUUGCCGGGGAGCAAAGUGCCGCACGUGUGCGGUUUGGAGAGUACCCGGAGAAAAAGCAUCGGCUAACUCCGUGCCAGCAGCCGCGGUAAUACGGAGGAUGCGAGCGUUAUCCGGAUUUAUUGGGUGUAAAGGGAGCGUAGACGGCAGCGCAAGUCUGAAGUGAAAUGCCGGGGCUUAACCCCGGAACUGCUUUGGAAACUGUGCAGCUAGAGUGCAGGAGAGGUAAGUGGAAUUCCUAGUGUAGCGGUGAAAUGCGUAGAUAUUAGGAGGAACACCAGUGGCGAAGGCGGCUUACUGGACUGUAACUGACGUUGAGGCUCGAAAGCGUGGGGAGCAAACAGGAUUAGAUACCCUUGUAGUC
rnacentral:rRNA from 1 species